rnacentral:rRNA from 1 species
GUCUUAGCUUGCUAAGGCUGAUGGCGACCGGCGCACGGGUGAGUAACACGUAUCCAACCUGCCGUCUACUCUUGGCCAGCCUUCUGAAAGGAAGAUUAAUCCAGGAUGGCAUCAUGAGUUCACAUGUCCGCAUGAUUAAAGGUAUUUUCCGGUAGACGAUGGGGAUGCGUUCCAUUAGACAGUAGGCGGGGUAACGGCCCACCUAGUCAACGAUGGAUAGGGGUUCUGAGAGGAAGGUCCCCCACAUUGGAACUGAGACACGGUCCAAACUCCUACGGGAGGCAGCAGUGAGGAAUAUUGGUCAAUGGGCGAUGGCCUGAACCAGCCAAGUAGCGUGAAGGAUGACUGCCCUAUGGGUUGUAAACUUCUUUUAUAAAGGAAUAAAGUCGGGUAUGCAUACCCGUUUGCAUGUACUUUAUGAAUAAGGAUCGGCUAACUCCGUGCCAGCAGCCGCGGUAAUACGGAGGAUCCGAGCGUUAUCCGGAUUUAUUGGGUUUAAAAGGGAGCGUAGAUGGAUGUUUAAGUCAGUUGUGAAAGUUUGCGGCUCAACCGUAAAAUUGCAGUUGAUACUGGAUGUCUUGAGUGCAGUUGAGGCAGGCGGAAUUCGUGGUGUAGCGGUGAAAUGCUUAGAUAUCACGAA